rnacentral:rRNA from 1 species
UACGUAGGGUCCGAGCGUUGUCCGGAAUUACUGGGCGUAAAGAGCUCGUAGGCGGUUUGUCGCGUCGGCCGUGAAAUCUCCACGCUUAACGUGGAGCGUGCGGUCGAUACGGGCAGACUUGAGUUCGGUAGGGGAGACUGGAAUUCCUGGUGUAGCGGUGAAAUGCGCAGAUAUCAGGAGGAACACCGGUGGCGAAGGCGGGUCUCUGGGCCGAUACUGACGCUGAGGAGCGAAAGCGUGGGGAGCGAACAGG